rnacentral:rRNA from 1 species
CAGUAGCCGCGGUAAUACGUAGGGUGCAAGCGUUGUCCGGAAUUAUUGGGCGUAAAGAGCUCGUAGGCGGUUGGUCACGUCGGCUGUGAAAACCUGGGGCUCAACCCCGGGCCUGCAGCCGAUACGGGCCAACUAGAAUUCGGUAGGGGAGACUGGAAUUCCUGGUGUAGCGGUGAAAUGCGCAGAUAUCAGGAGGAACACCGGUGGCGAAGGCGGGUCUCUGGGCCGAUAUUGACGCUGAGGAGCGAAAGCGUGGGGAGCAAACAGGAUUAGAUACCCCUGUAGUCCCUGUCUCUUAUAA